GGAUCUAUGGGAUCCAACUAUGGGGAACAGCGAGUAAUUCCAACAUAGAAAUUCUCCAGCGAUUCCAAUCAAAAACUCUAAGGUCCUUAAUAGAUGCACCUCGAUAUGUUACCAACGAAACAGUACAUCACGACCUUAGGAUACCUACAGUUAAAGAAGAAAUAUCCAAAUUCAGUAACAGAUAUGAUAUAAGAGUUAACAACAACGAAAAUCCAUUAGUUACCCAAUUACUUGACACGACGGAUCAGAUCCGCAGACUAAAAAGACAAUACCCUUUAGAUUUAAGCAUUAGAUUCAACUAGAGUCAAACAUACUAUAAACUCUUGUAAUCCAAGUUAUAGUACCACGCCAAAAUAAUUUACUUAUAAUUCUCAAUGAGAAUUGAUUGU